rnacentral:rRNA from 1 species
AUUGAACGCUGGCGGCAGGCCUAACACAUGCAAGUCGAACGAGUGGCGGACGGGUGCGUAAUGUCUGGGAAACUGCCCGAUGGAGGGGGAUAACUACUGGCAACGGUAGCUACUACCGCAUACCAUCGGAUGUUCCCCGAUGGGAUUAGCUAUUAGGGGGGGUAACGGCUCACCUCGGCGACGAUCCCUAGCUGGUCUGAGAGGAUGACCAGCCACACUGGAAAUGAGACACGGUCCAGACUCCUACGGGAGGCAGCAGGGGGGAAUAUUGCACAAUGGGCGCAAGACUGAUGAAGCCAUGCCGCGUGUAUGAAGAAGGCCUUAGGGUUGUAAAGUACUUUCAGCGAGGAGGCGUUACUCGCAGAAGAAGCACCGGCUAACUCCGUGCCAGCAGCCGCGGUAAUUC